rnacentral:rRNA from 1 species
GACGAACGCUGGCGGCGUGCUUAACACAUGCAAGUCGAACGAAGAGCGAUGGAAGCUUGCUUCUCUCAAUCUUAGUGGCGAACGGGUGAGUAACGCGUAAUCAACCUGCCCUUCAGAGGGGGACAACAGUUGGAAACGACUGCUAAUGCCGCAUACGAUCUGACCUCGGCAUCGAGGAUAGAUGAAAGGUGGCCUCUAUUUAUAAGCUAUCACUGAAGGAGGGGAUUGCGUCUGAUUAGCUAGUUGGAGGGGUAACGGGCCACCAAGGCGAUGAUCAGUAGCCGGUCUGAGAGGAUGAACGGCCACAUUGGGACUGAGACACGGCCCAGACUCCUACGGGAGGCAGCAGUGGGGAAUCUUCCGCAAUGGACGAAAGUCUGACGGAGCAACGCCGCGUGAGUGAUGACGGCCUUCGGGUUGUAAAGCUCUGUUAAUCGGGACGAAAGGCCUUCUUGCGAAUAGUUAGAAGGAUGGACGGUACCGGAAUAGAAAGCCACGGCUAACUACGU